rnacentral:rRNA from 1 species
AGAGUUUGAUCAUGGCUCAGAAUGAACGUUGGCGGCGUGGAUUAGGCAUGCAAGUCGAACGGUAAGGUACUUAGCUUGCUUGUAACCCUAGAGUGGCGAAAGGGAUAGUACAAUGUAGAUCAUAUACCCCCAGGUUGGGGAUAGCGUCUGGAAACGGGCGGUAAUACCCGAUAACAUCUCCGGAUCAAAGGUGAGAUUCCGCCUGAGGAUUAGUUUACACACUAUUAGCUUGUUGGCGAGGUAAUGGCCCACCAAGGCGACGAUGGUUACCGGGCGUGAGAGCGUGACCCGGAUCACUGGGACUGAGACACUGCCCAGACACCUACGGGUGGCUGCAGUCGAGAAUCUUCGGCAAUGGACGAAAGUCUGACCGAGCGACGCCGCGUGUAUGAUGAAGGCCUUCGGGUUGUAAAAUACUGUCGAUUAGGCGGAAAUGUGUAGGGGUUCUCCCUUACAUUUGACCUAUCAUUGGAGGAAGGACGGGCUAAGUUCGUGCCAGCCGCCGC